rnacentral:lncRNA from 1 species
AUUCUGAAAGUGCUUAGCCUGAGAGGCCCCACAUAAUCUUCACAGUUCAGCGGUCUCUGAAUUGUCACCAUGUAACCUUCUUGCCUGUUAUCUGUUUACUCUGGGGAUGACUCAUGACUAGUCACUAGCCCAGUAACUUUGUAACCUUUCCCCCGGAGAAUGUGUCUGGAUGUCACAGAUCUGUGCCACCUUCAGCUUUCUCUUUUCAGGGCUCAACUUGCUUCCAACAAUAUCACUAGUUUUUAUGAGUGUUAUGUGAAGCCGCAAUUAGACAACAUCUCCUCAUCUGCCCUAGCAUGCAGGAUGGGGUUCUGUCUUCUGCGUGGAGCAUGAUGGGUGAGAGGAAGCAGAGGCUGGAGAGAUGGAGGACCCACAGUUUGAAAGGAGAUGAACCCCACAGGACGCUUCCACAGAGUGAUGCUGGCCAGCCCACCUUGGACCACAGGAAGCUCCCUAAGAAAAAGGUUGGGUGAAUUGAGCAGAGAAACAGUUGUCUCAGCAGGGAAGAGCUCUCCUUCAGUUCUCCAUGAUCCAGAGAAUGAGGAUCUGUAUGAGGGGCUUUGAGAGAGAAAGAGCCCGUGAGGAUGAAGGCAUCUGCUAUAGUUAUGGCUGGCUGGCGGGCCUCUGGGGUGUCUCUGUCUCUGCCUCCCCAAUGCUGGGGUUGUAAGUAUGCAUCACCACGCCCAGCUUGUGACAUGGGUGCUGGGGCUUGAGUUCAGAUCAUCAUGCUUGCUUGGACAAACCCCCAGCCCCCCAAAGAACGCUUUAGAUACAGGUGAAGGUAUGAUAGUUAAUCUCACGUGUCAACGGGACUGAGCUAGAAGAUAGCCAGAGAACUGAUGAACAGUUAGUCCUGGGCGUGUCGCUGAGUAGUUUCUGGAAAGAGCUCAGCAUCUGGCUGAUAAACCUGGUGGUACCAUCCAGUCCACUGAGGGUCUCAACAGAACAAAGACAUGGUGGAAACAAGGGACAUAUCCACCCUGUCCCAACCUGGGGCUUGUGGUUCCUGUGUCUGGGAACUCAGUGAGAAUCACCAACUCUCCCUGUUCUCUAGAUAGAAGAUGGUGGAGAACUCUAGCAUCCCUAAUUGUGUGGCCAGUUUCCAUUAUAAAUCACCUCUGUGUAUCUUCUAUUGGGUGUUUCUCUGAAGAGUCUUAACACAGGCUCGAAAGCCUACUGAUCUGUCCCAUGUCUAUCAGUCCAGGUCACUCCUGCAGAGCCCAUGGCCUUUACUACUGUGCCCAUGAUAGUCCCUCUGGGGUCCUUCCAUUUGGCCAUCACCCCAGAGCAGCAUCCACUGAGCUGAGACAUGGAUUCCUCCUCUCACAGUCCAUCCACUUUAUCUAAGGACCUCCCUUUAACCACACAGAGGAAAACAGCUGGAAUCUGCUUUUUGACAAUGGAGCAGAGGUGUCCUAAGGGUACAAGGAGCCACAAGCCAUCUACUGUCUCCGAUGAAGAUGCUUAGUAAAUAUUUGUGGAGCAGAGGAUGAAGAUGCAGACAAUCUCUGGGAGCCGUUUCUCGCGCGCGAGCAAAGUACCACAUCAGGAAUUCCAGACAUCUGACCUUAUCAGCGGUGCCCCUGCGCUCCUUGCCUGGAGUUGUCUGGACCCUGACAAACACUUCAAAGCCUACCACCCUUGCCUCUCCCGGAGUGAAGGAGGUUGUCUUGGUGUUCCAUCGCUGUGAAGAGACACGGUGGCCACGGCAGUGCUUAUAAAAGAAAGCAUUUAGUUCAGGCCUGCUUACCGUUUCAGAGGGAUUUAGUCCCUUUAUCCCCAUGACAGGGAACAUGGCGGCACGCAGCUGGAGAAGUAGCUAGUGUUCUUCAGCCAGUUCUGAGGGAGCGCGGCAGGAAGAGAAAGACCCUGGCCAGGGUCUAGCUUUUGAAACUUCAAUGACCCAUUCCCAGGGACAUUUCCUUCAAUAAGGCCACACCAACAAGGUCACGCCUUCUAUCUCUUCCCACCCUUUCCUCGUCCGUCCUAUCCACCUGUCUUCCCUUCCUUUCUUCCUCUUUUUCAUCUCCAUGCUGCUCCUGUUCUUCUAGACGACUGUGUCACACAAUGCCUGCUCUCUGCCAGAACGUCAGAGGAGCAGGGGGUGACAGUGCAUGGAUCCCUGUGAGGAGAGAGCCAGCGUUCGCAGGCACUGACUGGGAGCCUGGGAGAUAGCUCAGUCAGUAUGGCCAUGAAGACAUGAAUUCCUUAUAACCCAGAAGAAAAUGCCAGGUGCAUGCUUAGAAUCCCACCGCCGGGGAGGAGGAAACUGAAGAUCCCUGGGAUAGCUGGCUGGUCAGCCUAGCUUCCUCAGUGAGCCCCAGGCUCAAUGCUUCCUGUGGCAAGCUCCCAGGGGCCCCACCUCAAGGGUGCCUCUUCCCCAUGACCACCUGUGACCUUCAAAAUGACAGCUGCCAAGGAUGCUGAAGAUGGUCAGCCUGGCUCAUCACCAACUCUGGAACUCAGCAGCUGCAUCAAUGUGGAUGGGGAAAAAAAAGUCUCGGUUACAUUGAUCUUUGCCAGUGUCUCCUUCAGCAACAUACAUCGCCACAACCACAUCUCCAGUGGUCUCUGGGAACAUCAUCACUAUUUUCAGAUCUGUGACAGUUGUGUCAGGUGGUUGAAAAUGUCAUUAAACCCAUUACUGCUUCAAAAUUACAGUCAUUAUUGAAACCUGCUCCUAGACCUUGUUAUUUAGUCUGUUAAUAAACAAGGAUUCCUAGAAC